AUCAACUUUCGAUGGUAGGAUAGAGGCCUCCCAUGGUGGUAACGGGUAACGGGGUGUUAGGGCCCGACACCGGAGAGGGAGCCUGAGAAACGGCUACCACAUCCAAGGAUGGCAGCAGGCGCGCAAAUUACCCAAUCCCGACGCGGGGAGGUAGUGACAAUAAAUAACAAUACGGGGUUCUUUCGGAUUUCGUAAUUGGAAUGAGUACAAUUUAAAUCUCUUAACGAGGAACAAUUGGAGGGCAAGUCUGGUGCCAGCAGCCGCGGUAAUUCCAGCUCCAAUAGCGUAUAUUAAAGUUGUUGCAGUUAAAAAGCUCGUAGUUGAAUUUCGGGAUCAGCAAGUUGGUCGUGCCACUGGUAUGUCCUGGCUUUGCUGAUUCCUCCUUCUUGUAGAACCGUAAUGCCAUUAAUUUGGUGUGGCGGGGAAACAGGCCUGUUACUUUGAAAAAAUUAGAGUGUUUAAAGCAGGCUAACGCUUGAAUACAUUAGCAUGGAAUAAUGAAAUAGGACGAGCGAUCCUAUUUUGUUGGUUUCUAGGAUUGACGUAAUGAUUAAUAGGGAUAGUUGGGGGCAUUAGUAUUCAAUUGUCAGAGGUGAAAUUCUUGGAUUUAUUGAAGACUAACUACUGCGAAAGCAUAUCCAAGGAUGUUUUCAUUAAUCAAGAACGAAAGUUAGGGGAUCGAAGACGAUCAGAUACCGUCGUAGUUUUAACCAUAAACUAUGCCGACUAGGGAUCGGAUGAUGUUAUNUAUAAUGNCUCAUUCGGCC
rnacentral:rRNA from 2 species